rnacentral:tRNA from 1 species
GGAUUGUGGCUCAGGGGUAGAGCGCACACCUAGCAUUCAUGAGGCACUGGGUUCAAGUCUCAGCACCA